GAGCUGUGGAUAGGGGUGAAAGGCCAAUCAAACACCGUGAUAGCUGGUUCUCCCCGAAAUGCAUUUAGGUGCAGCGUUGUGUGGUUCGUGUCGGAGGUAGAGCACUGGAUGGUCUAGGGGGCCUAUCAGCUUACCGAAACCAGCCAAACUCCGAAUGCCGGCACGUGGAGCGCAGCAGUGAGACGGCGGGGGAUAAGCUUCGUCGUCGAGAGGGAAACAGCCCAGAUCAUCAGCUAAGGCCCCUAAGUGAUAGCUAAGUGGAAAAGGAUGUGGAGUUGCGUAGACAACCAGGAGGUUGGCUUGGAAGCAGCCAUCCUUGAAAGAGUGCGUAAUAGCUCACUGGUCAAGUGAUUCCGCGCCGACAAUGUAGCGGGGCUCAAGUUAUCCGCCGAAGCUGUGGCAACUUUUUUGAGUUGGGUAGGGGAGCGUCGUGUUCGUGGUGAAGCAGCCUGGUGAUGGGUUGUGGAGUGGAUGCGAGUGAGAAUGCAGGCAUGAGUAGCGAAUGACGGGUGGGAAACCCGUCCGCCGAAUAUCCAAGGGUUCCAGGGUCAAGUUAAUCUGCCCUGGGUGAGUCGGGACCUAAGGCGAGGCCGACAGGCGUAGUCGAUGGACGACCAGUUGAUAUUCUGGUACCGGUGUAGCACCGUCCGUGUCGAGGUGUGUGAUGCUAAGCGUGCGAGUGUCCUGGUGAUCCCUUCGGGGUGAUCUUGUGGCGUGAGUGUGUGAACCGAUCAUGUAGUAGACAAGCUGCGGAGGGACACAGUGAGGUAGCUCGUCCCCGGCGAUGGUUGUCCGGGGCUAAAUGUGUGGACUGUCUGGUAGGUAAAUCCGUCAGGCGUUGAGUUGAGGCAUGAUGGCGAGCCAUGUUUGUGUGGUGAGCGAGUGAUCCUGUGCUGUCGAGAAAAGCUUCGUGAGCGAGGUGUGAGCCGCCCGUACCCUAAACCGACACUGGUGGAUUGGUAGAGUAUACCGAGGCGCUCGAGAGAAUCAUGGUGAAGGAACUCGGCAAAAUGCCCCCGUAACUUUGGAAGAAGGGGGACCUGAGCUGUUGCCGCCACGUGCUGGUGGUUGCGGUGAGGGGCGCAGAGAAUUGGGGGAAGCGACUGUUUACCAAAAACACAGGUCCGUGCGAAGUCGUAAGACGAUGUAUACGGACUGACUCCUGCCCGGUGCUGGAAGGUUAAGGGGAACUGUUAGC
rnacentral:rRNA from 1 species